UUGGUGGAUGACUGUGGAAGUUUAAGCAAUGAUGAAAAUGCUCCAUAUCUACACUGUCCAAUACGGUAACCACUAGCAUCUUGUGACUACUGAGUAUCUGAAAGGUUCUGCUUGAAUUCUUGCCCUGGCUCUUGGCGAAGGGUCGGCCUGCCUGGAUCUGAGUCAUCCACCUAUAAGAGGGACAACACCACACAUUGGUCACUGCUCUCAAGCCCUUGGAAUACCACCCCACUUGGCUUCUCCUAGUAACAGUGGCUGCCUUUGCUUGCCCGUCUCCAACUCCUCCCAAGAGCACUGUUGACUAUACCACCCACAUAAACAAAAACGUUUUGGGAGUCCUCCAGAAUUUUUAAGAGUUAUCUAAAGUAUUGCCUUUAACAACUGGGAACUCCGAUUUGAGAAGUGUUACCCUACGUUAAGCCAACAGCAGCCUGGCUCCUUCAUGCUGUGCAGUGUGGGACAGAGCUGGGUCCUUGUUGUCAUCAGCCAGACAUGCACAUAUUAAAGCCCACCUUAGCCAUUGGCAUUAGAGCUUUAAAAUCAGCUCCAUCCUACCAUGCUGUCACUCAAUCAGGUGAUCUUAAUGACCAGCUCUACAUAUCCUCCCUCCAUGCCCCCACCCCCACCACCCACCAAC